rnacentral:rRNA from 1 species
GAUGAACGCUGGCGGCGUGCUUAACACAUGCAAGUCGAACGAUGAAAGCGGGAGCUUGCUCCUGCUGGAUUAGUGGCGAACGGGUGAGUAACACGUGAGUAACCUGCCCUUGACUCUGGGAUAAGCGUUGGAAACGACGUCUAAUACCGGAUACGACCUUCGGAGGCAUCUCCUGGGGGUGGAAAGAAUUUCGGUCAAGGAUGGACUCGCGGCCUAUCAGCUAGUUGGUGAGGUAAUGGCUCACCAAGGCGACGACGGGUAGCCGGCCUGAGAGGGUGACCGGCCACACUGGGAAUGAGACACGGCCCAGACUCCUACGGGAGGCAGCAGUGGGGAAUAUUGCACAAUGGGCGAAAGCCUGAUGCAGCAACGCCGCGUGAGGGACGACGGCCUUCGGGUUGUAAACCUCUUUUAGUAGGGAAGAAGCGAAAGUGACGGUACCUGCAGAAAAAGCACCGGCUAACUACGUGCCAGCAGCCGCCGCCGUAA